CGCCAAGUAGCUGCUAACAAGAUGAUCUCUUCCAGCACGAACAUCACGAUGGUCUCCGUGUGCGUUUUCGUCCUCCUGCUGCUGCCUGGUCUUCAGCCUUCUGCAGCAGAGUCUCCAUCAAGUCUAACCUGUAACUCCAGACUGUUCUCUAAUGGGUCGGUCCUGUUCCAGCUGUCACACAGGCCCAGUUCAUCCAGCUGCAGCACCUGCUGGGAGGAUCAGAACAAAACUGUCAUGGCACUCAACUCAGGCUUUCUUAAAGGCUUUGUCCACAGUCUGACGGACAACUCGAUCAUCCUGGCUGACUGUCGUCCCCUGUCCUACAUCCUGGAGUGCUCUGGGAUGCGGCAGGACAUCGACUGCGCAGUGAACUGCAGUUCUCACCUGGACCCUGCCUCACUUUCCCCAAACUCCACCCACCCAGACAAGCUGAAGUGGACAGCCGGAGCCAUCGUCGCUGUCGGCCUUCUGUUGUUUGUCUUCAUCAUCGUUGUCAUGCUUUGGCGCUUCUAUAAGAAAAAACAUGUGACGACCCCAACUGCUUUGUACACUCCAGCUCAAACUGUUUAAACACUGCAAACAAACCCGUUGCACGGCUCCAUCAUCAUCA
rnacentral:lncRNA from 1 species